GAUGAACGCUAACUACAGGCUUAACACAUGCAAGUCGAGGGGAAACGACAUCGAAAGCUUGCUUUUGGUGGGCGUCGACCGGCGCACGGGUGAGUAACGCGUAUCCAACCUGCCCAUCACUUGGGAAUAACCUUGCGAAAGUAAGACUAAUGCCCAAUGACAUUUAUAGAAGGCAUCUGAAAUGAAUUAAAGAUUUAUCGGUGAUGGAUGGGGAUGCGUCUGAUUAGCUAGUUGGCGGGGCAACGGCCCACCAAGGCGACGAUGCGUAGGGGUUCUGAGAGGAAGGUCCCCCACACUGGUACUGAGACACGGACCAGACUCCUACGGGAGGCAGCAGUGAGGAAUAUUGGUCAAUGGGCGCAGGCCUGAACCAGCCAAGUCGCGUGAGGGAAGACGGUCCUACGGAUUGUAAACCUCUUUUGUCGGGGAGUAACGUGCGGGACGCGUCCCGUAUUGAGAGUACCCGAAGAAAAAGCAUCGGCUAACUCCGUG
rnacentral:rRNA from 1 species